UCCGUAGGGUGCAAGCGUUGUCCGGAAUUAUUGGGCGUAAAGAGCUCGUAGGCGGCUUGUCGCGUCGGCUGUGAAAACCUGGGGCUCAACCCCGGGCCUGCAGCCGAUACGGGCAAGCUAGAAUUCGGUAGGGGAGACUGGAAUUCCUGGUGUAGCGGUGAAAUGCGCAGAUAUCAGGAAGAACACCCGUGGCUAAGGCGGCUCUCUAGUACGUGACUGACGCUGAGACGCGAAAGCGUGGGGAGCGAACAGG
rnacentral:rRNA from 1 species